GGACCUAGAUGUGAGGCUUUAAUGCUAUGUUUAGCAUGUUUAGUUUGUUAGCAUGUGUCUGGAUAAUUGCUAACAUUAGCAAACAGCAGUACGUUUCCUCUGCCGCUUUACAUGGUUUUAUCACCGGGAGCCGGUGGCGGUGAUUGUGGCUUGACCAAGAGAUUCAACACAAAAGCUUAUAAUACAUCCUCUGGGCAGUGCUACCUAGUUUUCAGGCUAAAUGAGUUGCUAUCAGACAGUGAUGAGACGGGCCGAUGCUAGCUGGUUAGCAUGCUAACCACUGGUUAGCAUGCUAACCAGUAGAAGAAAAGACGUGAUAGAGACGUUGACGUUGAAGUUGAAGUUGAAGUUGCUUUCCACCGCUGGAGACAGCUGUUGGUGAAGUUUGAUGAUGAACUUGCACCAUUUCUUCUAGACUGGAGCUCACAUACGCCGCGUGUCCCACAUACCUGGGCGGGGAUGUUUGAUUGACAACUCGGGGGCGUGGACGGCAUGACCCAGACUGGAGCAAUGACAGGGACCUUUUCGGGGGAAGACCAUCACCCCAAAAUUUAAUUUAGACCCUCUUGUGGAAGGACUGCGGGGGACUGAGUUGCUCAAUAGGGUCCCUACUGUUCCUGCAGGGAAAAGUUCCUGCAGGGAAAAGUUCCUGCGAUGUAAACGCACCUAAAGUAAAGUGAAGUAAGAAGAAGACGACUUGUAGAAGGCUACAGGAUGAGAAAAAGACUUGAACUGGAGGAUUUUGAGGAGGACUUGUAGAGGACUGGGAGAUCUGAACUGAAUUAUGGAGACUGGGUGGCCACACACACACACACACACACACACACACACACACACACACACACACACACACACACACACACACACACACACACACACACGCUCAGAGGAAACACAUUAAGAAGACAAAUGACUGCAGUGAAACUGAUGUUUACCCAGCAGGCUAUUUAAAGAGAGAGAGAGAGAGAGGAGGGAUUAAUGUGAAGAGCGAUUCAAGAAGAAGAUAAAGACAUGAGAGAAAGAAGAGAACAGCGAGGAACAGAAACGGAGGGAUAGAUGAAAGAAGAGAUAAAGAUUGAUGAAUGGAGAAGAAAAAUAGAUGUGACUGAUUCUUAAAAUACAAACACCUGAUAAAACAACCUUUUUCCUCUUCCGCCUUCCUUCAUAUUGUUCUUUUUUCAGCUAUUUCAGGUGUUUCUUUAGUUACAUCUAUAAAUAUUAUGUAAAUUCUUAUUAUAUUAUUCACAAACAGUUUGAUUUACAGAUCACCUGCAACGUGUUCUUUAUUUACUCAUCCAUUUUUCGCAAUAAAACCAAAAUAAAGAACAAUAAUCACCAUUAAAAUGUUCAGUUAUAUAAUAAAUAUAAUAAUAA